AUUGAACGCUGGCGGCAGGCCUAACACAUGCAAGUCGAGCGGAUGACGGGAGCUUGCUCCUUGAUUCAGCGGCGGACGGGUGAGUAAUGCCUAGGAAUCUGCCUGGUAGUGGGGGACAACGUUUCGAAAGGAACGCUAAUACCGCAUACGUCCUACGGGAGAAAGCAGGGGACCUUCGGGCCUUGCGCUAUCAGAUUAGCCUAGGUCGGAUUAGCUUGUUGGUGAGGUAAUGGCUCACCAAGGAGACGAUCCGUAACUGGUCUGAGAGGAUGAUCAGUCACACUGGAACUGAGACACGGGCCGGACUCCUACGGGAGGCAGCAGUGGGGAAUAUUGGACAAUGGGCGAAAGCCUGAUCCAGCCAUGCCGCGUGUGUGGAGAAGGUCUUCGGAUUGUAAAGCACUUUAAGUUGGGAGGAAGGGUUGUAGAUUAAUACUCUGCAAUUUUGACGUUACCGACAGAAUAAGCACCGGCUAACUCUGUGCCAGCCGCCGCAGUAAUAC
rnacentral:rRNA from 1 species